GCUCAGUUGGUUAAGUGUCAUGCUCUUGAUUUUGGCUCAAGUCAUGAUCUCACAGUUCGUGAGUUCAAGUCCCACAUUGGGCU
rnacentral:tRNA from 1 species